rnacentral:rRNA from 1 species
AUUGAACGCUGGCGGCAGGCUUAACACAUGCAAGUCGAACGAGUGGCGGACGGGUGAGUAAUGCUUGGGAAUCUAGCUUAUGGAGGGGGAUAACUACUGGAAACGGUAGCUAAUACCGCAUACCAUCGGAUGUGCCCAGAUGGGAUUAGCUAGUAGGUGGGGUAACGGCUCACUUGGGCGACGAUCCCUAGCUGGUCUGAGAGGAUGACCAGCCACACUGGAACUGAGACAGGGUCCAGGCUCCAACGGGAGGCAGCAGUGGGGAAUAUGGCACAAUGGGCGCAAGCCUGAUGCCGCCAUGCCGCGUGUAUGAAGAAGGCCUUCGGGUUGUAAAGUACUUUCAGCGAGGAGGCGUUACUCGCAGAAGAAGCACCGGCUAACUCCGUGCCAGCAGCCGCGGUAAUAC